GAGUUGAUCCUGGCUCAGAUUGAACGCUGGCGGCAUGCCUUACACAUGCAAGUCGAACGGCAGCACGGGAGCUUGCUCCUGGUGGCGAGUGGCGAACGGGUGAGUAAUGCAUCGGAACGUAUCCUGGAGUGGGGGAUAACGUAGCGAAAGUUACGCUAAUACCGCAUAUUCUGUGAGCAGGAAAGCGGGGGACCUUCGGGCCUCGCGCUCUUGGGGCGGCCGAUGUCGGAUUAGCUAGUUGGUGAGGUAAAGGCUCACCAAGGCGACGAUCCGUAGCAGGUCUGAGAGGAUGAUCUGCCACACUGGAACUGAGACACGGUCCAGACUCCUACGGGAGCAGCAGUGGGGAAUUCUGGACAAUGGGGGCAACCCUGAUCCAGCCAUGCCGCGUGAGUGAGAAGGCC
rnacentral:rRNA from 1 species